rnacentral:snRNA from 1 species
AGGUUAAUCCGAGGCGUGAUCAUUGCUGGUUGAAAACUUUACCCAAUACCCCGCUAGGAUGACUUGAAAUAUAGUCAGCCAUGGCAAUUUUUGAUGGUCUCAUUUGAGA